rnacentral:rRNA from 1 species
UACGUAGGGGGCGAGCGUUGUCCGGAAUCAUUGGGCGUAAAGCGCGUGUAGGCGGCCCGAUAAGUCCGUUGUGAAAACUCGAGGCUCAACCUCGAGACGCCGAUGGAAACCGUCUGGCUAGAGUCCGGAAGAGGAGAGUGGAAUUCCUGGUGUAGCGGUGAAAUGCGUAGAGAUGUGGAGGAACACCAGUGGCGAAGGCGACUCUUUGGCCUGUAACUGACGCUGAGGCGCGAAAGCGUGGGGAGCAAACAGG